rnacentral:rRNA from 1 species
CCCUGGUAGUCCAUACCGUAAACGAUGAAUGCUAAGUGUUGGAGGGUUCCUCCUUCCAGUGCUGCAGCUAACGCAUUAAGCAUUCCGCCUGGGGAGUACGGCCGCAAGGCUGAAACUCAAAGAAAUUGACGGGGGCCCGCACAAGCGGUGGAGCAUGUGGUUUAAUUCGAAGCUACGCGAAGAACCUUACCAGGUCUUGACAUACUAUGCAAAUCUAAGAGAUUAGACGUUCCCUUCGGGGACAUGGAUACAGGUGGUGCAUGGUUGUCGUCAGCUCGUGUCGUGAGAUGUUGGGUUAAGUCCCGCAACGAGCGCAACCCUUAUUAUCAGUUGCCAGCAUUAAGUUGGGCACUCUGGUGAGACUGCCGGUGACAAACCGGAGGAAGGUGGGGAUGACGUCAAAUCAUCAUGCCCCUUAUGACCUGGGCUACACACGUGCUACAAUGGAUGGUACAACGAGUUGCGAACUCGCGAGAGUAAGCUAAUCUCUUAAAGCCAUUCUCAGUUCGGAUUGUAGGCUGCAACUCGCCUACAUGAAGUCGGAAUCGCUAGUAAUCGCGGAUCAGCAUGCCGCGGUGAAUACGUUCCCGGGCCUUGUACACACCGCCCGUCACACCAUGAGAGUUUGUAACACCCAAAGUCGGUGGGGUAACCUUUAGGAACCAGCCGCCUAAGGUGGGACAGAUGAUUAGGGUGAAGUCGUAACAAGGUAACCA